CCAAUAGCGUAUAUUAAAGUUGUUGCAGUUAAAAAGCUCGUAGUUGAACUUCGGGGUCUACCCAUUGGUCAGGCUUAAUUUUCUGCACUGGUGAGAUGGAUCUCUACUUUCUGAGGAACUUUCAUGCCAUUUAUUUAGUGUGAUUGGAAAUCAGGACUGUUACUUUGAAAAAAUUAGAGUGUUUAAAGCAGACUAUCGUCUGAAUACAUUAGCAUGGAAUAAUGAAAUAGUGCGGACUGAUUCUAUUUCGUUGGUUUCUAGGAUCACCGUAAUGAUUAAUAGGGAUAGUUGGGGGCAUUAGUAUUCAAUUGUCAGAGGUGAAAUUCUUGGAUUUAUUGAAGACUAACUACUGCGAAAGCAUUUGCCAAGGAUGUUUUCAUUAAUCAAGAACGAAAGUUAGGGGAUCGAAGACGAUCAGAUACCGUCGUAGUCUUAACCAUAAACUAUGCCGACUAGGGAUCGGACGAAGUUAAUUUUAUAAUGACGCGUUCGGCACCUUACG
rnacentral:rRNA from 1 species